rnacentral:rRNA from 1 species
GCGUGCCGCUGUCGGCCGGCGCACAGGUGCUGCAUGGCUGUCGUCAGCUCGGUGCUGUGAAGUGUUGGGUUAAGUCCCGCAACCGAGCGCAACCCCUGCUGCCUGUUGCCACCACGAGAGGUGGGGACUCAGGCGGGACCGCCGGUGACAAACCGGAGGAAGGUGGGGACGACGUCAAGUCAUCAUGGCCCUUAUGUCCUGGGCUACACACGUGCUACAAUGGCCGGUACAGAGCGCAGCGAGGCCGCGAGGCGGAGCGAAUCGCUUAAAGCCGGUCCCAGUACGGAUUGGAGUCUGCAACCCGACUCCAUGAAGUUGGAAUCGCUAGUAAUCGCGCAUCAGCAUGGCGCGGUGAAUACGUUCCCGGGCCUU